rnacentral:rRNA from 1 species
CAGUAGCCACGGUAAUACGGAGGGAGCUAGCGUUGUUCGGAAUUACUUGGCGUAAAGCGCGCGUAGGCGGUUACUCAAGUCAGAGGUGAAAGCCCGGGGCUCAACCCCGGAACUGCCUUUGAAACUAGGUGACUAGAAUCUUGGAGAGGUCAGUGGAAUUCCGAGUGUAGAGGUGAAAUUCGUAGAUAUUCGGAAGAACACCAGUGGCGAAGGCGACUGACUGGACAAGUAUUGACGCUGAGGUGCGAAAGCGUGGGGAGCAAACAGGAUUAGAUACCCGGUAGUCCCUGUCUCUUAUACA